rnacentral:rRNA from 1 species
UACGUAGGGUGCGAGCGUGGUCCGGAAUUAUUGGGCGUAAAGAGCUCGUAGGCGGUUCGUCGCGUCGAAUGUGAAAACCCGGGGCUCAACUCCGGGCCUGCAUUCGAUACGGGCGGACUAGAGUUCGGUAGGGGAGACUGGAAUUCCUGGUGUAGCGGUGAAAUGCGCAGAUAUCAGGAGGAACACCGGUGGCGAAGGCGGGUCUCUGGGCCGAUACUGACGCUGAGGAGCGAAAGCGUGGGGAGCGAACAGG